rnacentral:lncRNA from 1 species
AAUAGAGAAAAUGAAAUCAAUUUACAAAAGAAAUCAUUUCACAAUUUGGAACCAAUUUGAUUACUCAUCAACCCCUCGUAAUUCCUCUCAAUGUUCCCUCAAAUGCAUGUACAGAAUAAUCAAGCAUGGAGAACAAAACAUAGAGGAAUCUACCAUAACAAUUAAUCAAUAAGCUCAGGUGGAAUCAAGUCACACUUGGCAACAUUCAUGAAAAUGAAUAAGGAAUGUUCUCAUGGUGCAAAGUACAAACUCUCACUCACCUGUCAAUCUGGCACAGCCCUGAUACGCCUCCAAAAAUCUACAGUUGGCAGUGGAAAAUUUCUUCCUCUUGUUCCCUAGCUUCUUGCCCAACUGUGACAUACAUUUACAAUACAUUUAGUCUUGUAUCAAGGGCUAUAAUCUACGUGCCAAUUAUAAU